rnacentral:misc_RNA from 1 species
CUUCAUUUAGAGGAAGUACAAGUCGUAACAAGGUUUCCGUAGGUGAACCUGCGGAAGGAUCAUUAACAAAUCAUCAUAGUCAUGCGCUUUGGCGCACGACUAUAUACACCCUUUGCUUGGGAAGAGCAGCGAUGCUUGGAACAGCUUUGGUUGCAAUCCGCAAGGAUUGUAGGCUAGCCGAAAGGUUAUGCCACAUAGACGCUUGCUUAGUUUGACAGAGUUUAGUUGCAAUCAAAAAGAUACAACUUUUAACAAUGGAUCUCUUGGCUCUU